rnacentral:lncRNA from 1 species
GUAAGGUCGUUGGAGGGGGCAGAGCCUGGCUACAGGAGAAGGGGUGUGGCCAGGUGCCUCAGAUGUGGGCGUCCUGGGGCUGGGUCAUGGGAGGGGUGUGGCUGGACCACAGCCGGGGCGGGCCUGGGUUCAUGAAGAGGAGGGGCAUGGCCCAGGAGCACCAGGAUUGGGCACAACAGGGUAACUCACCAGAGGGGGCGGAACCUGGCUACAGGAGGAGGAGGCCUGUGGCCAGGGUCUUCAGCCUUGGGUGUCCAGGUCAGGGUCAUGGGAGGGGCCAGGCCCGGGUUCAGGAAGAGAAGAGGCGUAGCGCAGGAGCACCAGGAUUGGGCACAACAGGCAUUGCCCGCCAGAGGUCACAGAAUCUUGCACAUGAUAACCCAACCCGGAACCCUUGCUGUGCACCCCCAACUACAGUACCCAGAAUUCUUGGCCUUACAGCCCACACCCAGGACUACAGUACCCAUUAGACUGCCUGCCCCAAUCAUAGAACUACACUACCCAGAAUCCUUGGUGUGACCCCGCAGACUAUAUCAUCCAGAUUAUGCAUGACCCUCCAUGGGCCCAAGCCUUAGCACAUCCCCUAUUCUGGUACCCAUAAUCCUCCCUGUGACGCUCUCUCCCAGAAACUCUGUGUGCCUCAACCACAGAACUACAGUACCCAGAAACGUCAGCGUGUCACCACCACCCAUCAUGGUUCAUCAUGGUAACCUCCCUAGGACACCUCUUUGCCCAUGACUGUGGUACCAGGAAGGCGCCCGGAAGGAUCAAAGUACUUGUUGUAGUCAGUGGUUUGCAAAGGAAUAGAUUUAAUGCAGGGCACACAUAAUUUAUAGGAUUAUUGUAUAAUAUUCACCCCAAAAGUCAAAUGCAGAAGAGUGCAAGAGAUCUGUCCAUGUGCUGGAAACCUAAAGAAUCCAGCCAAGUCUUGGAGCCUGCAAAGUCCAGCCAAAGGCCUAGAGCACACAGAAAUGUCCUUCAUGAGUCCACAUCAAGGAUCUGCACUGGGAAGCCCCGAAGGCCAGUGAUGGAUUUUAGAAAGUCUGUGCUGGCGAGGUAAAGGAUCUGUGUCAGAAGGCUAAGGGAUUCACACUGAAGCCAGGAAGCGACAUUCAAGGUGAAGACCAGAGCUCCCCUGAAGAGAACAGCAGCCAUCCCCAGUGACAGCGAGGACCACAACUGCUUCUCCAACAAAAACAGCCAAGUUUCUAUCAGGAAAACCAGCCACAGCAAGCUUCUCUAGGAAAAUAAACAUCAUGCAUCUUCCCCUUCUAUUCUCCUUUUGUACCGUUGGCAACACUCCUCAGGUGGGUCUUCCAUGCUCAGAACCACACUGACUCAGUUCAGCUGGGCAUUCCACUUAAACUGACCAUUAGUCAAUCCACCACAGUAACCAAACGCCUCUGCAUGCACACGCCUGUACUGCAGUAGCUCUAAGUAUCGCUGUGACACACACACCCCUUCCAGGAUACCAGACAAUUGCACAUCUGGGACUGCAGUACCCAGAACCACCCCUCCCACAACAACAACAACAAUAACAACAACAACAACAACAGGACCCAGAAUCCUCUGGGUGCUCUGCAAGAACUAGGUACCCAGAAUGAUUCCCAAGGACUCUGCUACCCAGAAUCCUCAGUGUAACCCAUACAAGUACUGCAAUACCCAGAAGCCUCAGCGUGUCCCUUCUGAAGAAAUAUGAUACCUAGAACCUUCCAGAGCCCACAAGAUUUCAGAACACAAAAUCUUCAGUGUACCUCCUUAAGGAAAAAGGUAUCCUGGAUCUUUGGCAGGUUUCUUCAUGAACUAAUGUACCCAGAUUCCAUACUGAGACAUGCCCCAGGACUAAAGUACGUAAAAUCCUUGGUGUGUUUUCAGCCCCCCCAAAAAUGGAAUACAAUAUCCUGAAUCCUCAGCGUGCCCCUAUGGGAUUACAAUAUCCAGAACUUUUGGCAUGACCCGUCCCCAGGACUACAUUACCCAGAAUCCUUGGUGUGGCCCAUGACUACAGUAAACAGGAUCCUUAGCCAGUCCCUGCAGAUUCAUUGCCCAGGGUCUAAUGAUGGCCCUCCGCUAGUGUUUAGAAUACACCUGGCCCUCAGUGAGAUACGCUAGGGAGUCUAAGAUUCCUUGGUCCAGUGGGCCAGUCCUUUUCUAGGCCCUGGUUUCUAUAUUUUUAGGAGUGUUAUGGAUACAUUGAGAACAUUUGCCAUUUCUGUGCUGCAGAUAAAAAAUUUCUCCGGUGUCUUUGGAUUUUGUUUUUGUUUUUGUUUGUUGCUUGGUGCUGGGGAUGGAACUCAGAACCUUGCGCUUGCCAGACAGG